UGGAUUCUGCAUGCAUGGCACGAGUCCCGGCGCCGGUUUUGUGAUUAACAGCAAGAUAGAGCUUAUCCGUUAACAAGCAGAGCAGAGCCUGCAGAGGCGAAGCAAUUGACGGCCGGACAUGCCACGACGUCGGAACACCCGUCGUUACCCAAAACGUGGCAACUUGUCUGCUGCAUGUGUCCACACUCUCGUCUCUACGUGUCCUGUCGUUCACUCUUUCUUGUAUUAUUACAUGUAACAUCUGCACUUAUUUUUGGUAGAAAUAACAUCUGAACUUUCAGUUGUUCACUUUAAUGCUCACACUAGCUACUUAGAUUUGUUAAUGGCGUCGCUGGUGCGAAUCGAACGCUUCGUCUUCAAGAACGGAAUGUGGAAUUACAGAGAAGUAGUCCCAUAUUCGUUCGACUGGUGGACGAAUGAGAAUGACAACUCCAAACAGCGACAGGAAGGCUUUUUCUACACUCUCUGCGCUUUAUACGCCCUUGUUGCCUUCGUCGCCUUGGUUCAGCUUACCCGGAUUCAGAUGAGAGUACCAGGAUAUGGUUGGACAACACAAAAGGCCUUCCACUUGAUGAAUUUUGUUGUGAAUGGGUUGCGUGCUAUACUCUUUGGACUCUACAAGAAAGUGUUUUUCCUCAGGCCAAAAAUAUUUGAGAUGAUACUUCUGGAUAUCCCUGGACUUCUAUUUUUCUCAACAUACACAUUGCUUGUCUUGUUCUGGGCAGAGAUAUAUCACCAGGCUAGAAGCCUUCCCACAAAUAAACUUAGACCUGUGUAUUUUAUUGUUAAUGGAGUUAUGUACUUUGUACAGGUAUGCAUCUGGAUAUAUCUAAGACCAAGUCAGAAGCCCAUUGCAGUGGCAGUUGCUAAACUCUUCUUUUCAGUUAUUUCUUUCUUUGCUGCUCUUGGAUUCUUGAUAUAUGGUGGAAGGUUAUUCUUCAUGCUGAGGCGCUUCCCAAUUGAAUCUAGAGGACGUCAAAAAAAGCUAUAUGAGGUUGCUUCUGUAACUGGGAUUUGUUGCACAUGUUUCUUGAUAAGAUGCUUUGUGGUUGCUUUAUCUGCAUUUGACAAGCAUGCUGACAUUGAUGUCUUGAACCAUCCCCUCCUCAAUUUUGUUUAUUACACGUUGGUUGAGAUAGUUCCAUCUUCUCUGGUGCUCUUCAUCCUUCGGAAGCUUCCCCCCAGGCGUGUUUCUGUUUCUGAUCAGUAUCAUCCCAUUGAGUGAAACGAAGAUGCUAGCAGUCAUCAAUUCAAUGCCAUCCCUCUCCCUCUAUAGCUCUCAUUUGCUGGAAACUCUUUUGGCAUGGUUUGGCUUGCAUCAAGACUCAAAGAGAGGGCUGGUUGCUUGGUUUAAGCAGCUCAAGAGUGAAGAUAGUCUUGUGAAUGCAGUUGGCUAAUCUAUAAUCUAUCUACGGUGGUCAGUGGUGGGAUGGAAUUAUCUCAUAUCUGCAGUGCAGUGUACCCUCUGCCCUGUGUGCUGUGUACAACAGAUUUGUUGAUUGUUUCUCUGAGAAUGGAGUUCAGUGGACAAUGGGCACCUUGCACUGCAGCAGUUAUUAUCAUACUUCCUCGGAAUUUAACCAUGCAUUCUUAUUUCUUUCUUAUGGGAUGAGGAUUCGUAAUUCCUCUUUUUUUUUUAUUUGUUUUGUGCACUGUUGGAUUUCACAUGGUGGAUUAACUAGAAAUUGUCAGUCUUGUGUUUUUAGAGAGAGAAAGAGAGAGACUUUG